UUUAUUUUGGCAGAAUAGUGCGAAGGAUUUAGAAUCUUUUUAUGUAAUUUUUACAAAUAAAA
rnacentral:tRNA from 1 species